CCUACGGGUGGCAGCAGUGAGGAAUAUUGGUCAAUGGACGAGAGUCUGAACCAGCCAAGUAGCGUGAAGGAUGACUGCCCUAUGGGUUGUAAACUUCUUUUAUAUGGGAAUAAAAUGUUCCACGUGUGGGAUUUUGUAUGUACCAUAUGAAUAAGGAUCGGCUAACUCCGUGCCAGCAGCCGCGGUAAUACGGAGGAUCCGAGCGUUAUCCGGAUUUAUUGGGUUUAAAGGGAGCGUAGGUGGAUUGUUAAGUCAGUUGUGAAAGUUUGCGGCUCAACCGUAAAAUUGCAGUUGAAACUGGCAGUCUUGAGUACAGUAGAGGUGGGCGGAAUUCGUGGUGUAGCGGUGAAAUGCUUAGAUAUCACGAAGAACUCCGAUUGCGAAGGCAGUUCACUGGACUGCAACUGACACUGAGGCUCGAAAGUGUGGGUAUCAAACAGGAUUAGAUACCCUUGUAUUC
rnacentral:rRNA from 1 species